rnacentral:rRNA from 1 species
GGAUGAACGCUAGCGGCAGGCUUAACACAUGCAAGUCGAGGGGUAUAUUUCUUCGGAGAUAGAGACCGGCGCACGGGUGCGUAACGCGUAUGCAAUCUACCUUUUACAGAGGGAUAGCCCAGAGAAAUUUGGAUUAAUACCUCAUAGCAUUGCAGAAUGGCAUCAUUCAGCAAUUAAAGUCACAACGGUAAAAGAUGAGCAUGCGUCCCAUUAGCUAGUUGGUAAGGUAACGGCUUACCAAGGCUACGAUGGGUAGGGGUCCUGAGAGGGAGAUCCCCCACACUGGUACUGAGACACGGACCAGACUCCUACGGGAGGCAGCAGUGAGGAAUAUUGGACAAUGGGCGCAAGCCUGAUCCAGCCAUGCCGCGUGCAGGAUGACGGUCCUAUGGAUUGUAAACUGCUUUUAUACGAGAAGAAACACUGAUUC